rnacentral:rRNA from 1 species
CACUGCCGAGAAAAGCCUCUAGAUAGAAAAUAGGUGCCCGUACCGCAAACCGACACAGGUAGUCAAGAUGAGAAUUCUAAGGUGAGCGAGCGAACUCUCGUUAAGGAACUCGGCAAAAUGACCCCGUAACUUCGGGAGAAGGGGUGCUCUUUAGGGUUAACGCCCAGAAGAGCCGCAGUGAAUAGGCCCAAGCGACUGUUUAUCAAAAACACAGGUCUCUGCUAAACCGUAAGGUGAUGUAUAGGGGCUGACGCCUGCCCGGUGCUGGAAGGUUAAGAGGAGUGGUUAGCUUCUGCGAAGCUACGAAUCGAAGCCCCAGUAAACGGCGGCCGUAACUAUAACGGUCCUAAGGUAGCGAAAUUCCUUGUCGGGUAAGUUCCGACCCGCACGAAAGGCGUAACGAUUUGGGCACUGUCUCAACGAGAGACUCGGUGAAAUCAUAGUACCUGUGAAGAU